UGGGGAAUAUUGGACAAUGGGCAAAAGCCUGAUCCAGCCAUGCCGCGUGUGUGAAGAAGGUCUUCGGAUUGUAAAGCACUUUAAGUUGGGAGGAAGGGUUGUAGAUUAAUACUCUGCAAUUUUGACGUUACCGACAGAAUAAGCACCGGCUAACUCUGUGCCAGCAGCCGCGGUAAUACAGAGGGUGCAAGCGUUAAUCGGAAUUACUGGGCGUAAAGCGCGCGUAGGUGGUUUGUUAAGUUGGAUGUGAAAUCCCCGGGCUCAACCUGGGAACUGCAUUCAAAACUGACUGACUAGAGUAUGGUAGAGGGUGGUGGAAUUUCCUGUGUAGCGGUGAAAUGCGUAGAUAUAGGAAGGAACACCAGUGGCGAAGGCGACCACCUGGACUGAUACUGACACUGAGGUGCGAAAGCGUGGGGAGCAAACAGGAUUAGAUACCCCCGUAGUCCCUGAGCGGGCUGGCAAGGCGCAU
rnacentral:rRNA from 1 species